CAGGGAGACAACAAAAUGUUUAAUAUUAAUUAUUUUGUCACCUUAGGUCGAUCGGUAUCUCACGUUUUUAAUUUAUUAAGAAUUUCAUUUCCUAAGUUUUUUCUAGGUCACACCCAUUAUUUUUCCUGGGCCAUUAGCUCAGGUGGUUAGAGCGCACCCCUGAUAAGGGUGAGGUCCCUGGUUCAAGUCCAGGAUGGCCCAUAUCUCUAUGUUGGGGGUAUAGCUCAGUUGGUAGAGCGCCUGCUUUGCAAGCAGGAUGUCAGCGGUUCGAGUCCGCUUACCUCCACUGAUUACCACCUCUUCCAUAAUCUAUGAGAAGGAAAUGUUUUGAGUAGUGAUCAAAUUCUGAACGAAGCUAGCUUCCUAAUGAAAUCAUUAAGAUGCUGGACUCAUUGAAUUAAUUUCAUUGUUUUCAGAGAACCUUGACAACUGCAUAGAUUAUUUUUAAAGACAAUAAGCAUCUUUAAUGAUGCAGAUUUAUUAUUUGUGCGAAUGCAUUAAUAACAAUUCUAUUAAGCUGAUGCUUCAAUUUUUGAAGUUAUUG
rnacentral:tRNA from 1 species